rnacentral:rRNA from 2 species
CUAUACAUGCAGUCGAACGAGUUCUGAUUAUUGAAAGGUGCUUGCAUCUUGAUUUAAUUUUGAACGAGUGGCGGACGGGUGAGUAACACGUGGGUAACCUGCCCUUAAGUGGGGGAUAACAUUUGGAAACAGAUGCUAAUACCGCAUAAAUCCAAGAACCGCAUGGUUCUUGGCUGAAAGAUGGCGUAAGCUAUCGCUUUUGGAUGGACCCGCGGCGUAUUAGCUAGUUGGUGAGGUAACGGCUCACCAAGGCAAUGAUACGUAGCCGAACUGAGAGGUUGAUCGGCCACAUUGGGACUGAGACACGGCCCAAACUCCUACGGGAGGCAGCAGUAGGGAAUCUUCCACAAUGGACGCAAGUCUGAUGGAGCAACGCCGCGUGAGUGAAGAAGGCUUUCGGGUCGUAAAACUCUGUUGUUGGAGAAGAAUGGUCGGCAGAGUAACUGUUGUCGGCGUGACGGUAUCCAACCAGAAAGCCACGGCUAACUACGUGCCAGCAGCCGCGGUAAUACGUAGGUGGCAAGCGUUAUCCGGAUUUAUUGGGCGUAAAGCGAGCGCAGGCGGUUUUUUAAGUCUGAUGUGAAAGCCCUCGGCUUAACCGAGGAAGUGCAUCGGAAACUGGGAAACUUGAGUGCAGAAGAGGACAGUGGAACUUCCAUGUGUAGCGGUGAAAUGCGUAGAUAUAUGGAAGAACACCAGUGGCGAAGGCGGCUGUCUGGUCUGUAACUGACGCUGAGGCUCGAAAGCAUGGGUAGCGAACAGGAUUAGAUACCCUGGUAGUCCAUGCCGUAAACGAUGAAUGCUAGGUGUUGGAGGGUUUCCGCCCUUCAGUGCCGCAGCUAACGCAUUAAGCAUUCCGCCUGGGGAGUACGACCGCAAGGUUGAAACUCAAAGGAAUUGACGGGGGCCCGCACAAGCGGUGGAGCAUGUGGUUUAAUUCGAAGCAACGCGAAGAACCUUACCAGGUCUUGACAUCUUUUGAUCACCUGAGAGAUCAGGUUUCCCCUUCGGGGGCAAAAUGACAGGUGGUGCAUGGUUGUCGUCAGCUCGUGUCGUGAGAUGUUGGGUUAAGUCCCGCAACGAGCGCAACCCUUAUGACUAGUUGCCAGCAUUUAGUUGGGCACUCUAGUAAGACUGCCGGUGACAAACCGGAGGAAGGUGGGGAUGACGUCAAAUCAUCAUGCCCCUUAUGACCUGGGCUACACACGUGCUACAAUGGAUGGUACAACGAGUUGCGAGACCGCGAGGUCAAGCUAAUCUCUUAAAGCCAUUCUCAGUUCGGACUGUAGGCUGCAACUCGCCUACACGAAGUCGGAAUCGCUAGUAAUCGCGGAUCAGCACGCCGCGGUGAAUACGUUCCCGGGCCUUGUACACACCGCCCGUCACACCAUGAGAGUUUGUAACACCCGAAGCCGGUGGCGUAACCCUUUUAGGGAGCGAGCCGUCUAAGGUGGGACAAAUGAUUAGGGUGAAGUCGUA